rnacentral:rRNA from 1 species
ACUCCUACGGGAGGCAGCAGUGGGGAAUAUUGCACAAUGGGGGAAACCCUGAUGCAGCCAUGCCGCGUGUGUGAAGAAGGCCUUCGGGUUGUAAAGCACUUUCAGUAGGGAGGAAGGUAGUGUAGUUAACACCUGCAUUAUUUGACGUUACCUACAGAAGAAGCACCGGCUAACUCCGUGCCAGCAGCCGCGGUAAUACGGAGGGUGCGAGCGUUAAUCGGAAUUACUGGGCGUAAAGCGCAUGCAGGCGGCCUGUUAAGUCAGAUGUGAAAGCCCGGGGCUUAACCUCGGAAUUGCAUUUGAAACUGGCAGGCUAGAGUCUUGUAGAGGGGGGUAGAAUUUCAGGUGUAGCGGUGAAAUGCGUAGAGAUCUGAAGGAAUACCAGUGG